UGCUCAGGUGGACUACGUGGAGCCCAGCCAGAACACCAUCUCCCUGAAGAUGAUCCCACGCAUCGACUACGAUCGCAUCAAGGCCCGCAUGAGCUUGAAAGACUGGUUUGCCAAAAGGAAGAAGUUUAAGCGGCCUCCACAGAGGCUGUUUGAUGCUGAGAAGAUCAGGUGCGUGUCCUUGGGGACUGGCUGGGCUGGGUCCCCAGGGCCGGUGUGUAGAAUGUGCCUUUUGCAGGUUCCUCCCCAGGGGUGGCCCCGCCACAGGUUUAGCCUGUGAAUUGGUUAGCUUGGCAGUAUAGCCUCAGGCAAGUCACUUCACAUCCCUGUGCCUCAGUUUCUUCUGCUAUAAAGAUUGAUGAGGCUGGGCGCAGCGGGAGGGAGCACUUUGGAAGGCUAAGGCAGGAGGCUUGCUUGAGGCAAGGAGUUCGAGACCAGCCUGGGCAACAUAAUGAGAUCCCAUCUUUUAAAAUAAUAAUAAUAAUAAAAAGAAAAAAGUUAAAAAAAUAUUUAAAAA
rnacentral:lncRNA from 10 species